AACCGCAUCGCUCUCUGUCUCACCUCGCCCGCUUCCUCGUUCUCAUUCCUUUCGCGGGUAUUCUCUUAGCCCUGAAACCUCUUUCGAUCUCGAUGGCGCCAAGGGCGGAGAAGAAGCCCGCGGAGAAGAAGCCAGCGGAGGACAAGGAGAAGAAGACGGUCGCCGAGAAGGCCCCCGCCGAGAAGAAGCCCAAGGCCGAGAAGCGGGUGCCGGCCAAGGAGGGGGCCGCUGGCGACAAGAAGAGGAAGAAGAAGGCUAAGAAGAGCAGCGAGACCUACAAGAUCUACAUCUUCAAGGUCCUGAAGCAGGUCCACCCGGACAUCGGGAUCUCGAGCAAGGCCAUGGGCAUCAUGAACUCCUUCAUCAACGACAUCUUCGAGAAGCUCGCCCAGGAGGCCUCCCGUCUUGCCCGUUACAACAAGAAGCCCACCAUCACCUCCCGGGAGAUCCAGACCUCCGUCCGCCUCGUCCUCCCCGGCGAGCUCGCCAAGCACGCCGUCUCCGAGGGCACCAAGGCCGUCACUAAGUUCACCAGUUCUUGAAUCGUUGGGGCGGAGCGUGGCAGUCGUACGAUGUAAUUUCUAGGGUUUUGGAGCGUUGCUGUUAGGUGUUCCGUCUUGGGACCCUCUAAUUAGGCUUUCUGUAAAUUUUGAUGCUUUUUAAUAUUAUGGUUUCUUGGGAUUCCGUGUACACCAUUCUGCGCUGGAACACUUUAGUUUACAUUUUGUUUUUCAAGUAGGAGUCCACUGUUUUGGUUGCUCCGAUUAUUUUCGGAUGGACCUGAUUUUAGGUUUUAGUGUGGUGUUUUGUUGUUCCGGAGGACCAUUGUAUGCGAUCUCUGGUCAUUUUCUCCUAGGGCACGCCCUGGUCCUCUAGGGUUUCUAUCGGGGACGGGUGGGAGGAUGUGGACUGCUCUGUUGGCGAGGAGAACGGCAUAUGCCCCUCCAUUAAAGUCGAUGCUUCUUGGAAGGGGAUUCAGCUCCGAGAUUUUCGUCAGCAGAUUGUCAUAUUACACAACCGAUGAAGAAUUUCGAGAAGCCUUUUUGCCGUUUGGCAAUGUCAAGGAAGCUAGGCUUAUUAGAGAUGCAAGGACUAAAAGGCCAAAAGGGUAUGGCUUUUGUGACUUAUGAAUCUGAAGCUGAAGCACAAAAGGCGAUAAAGGCUAUGGAUGGCAGGAUAUUUGGUGGAAGAUUGAUUUUUGUGGAAACUGCAAAAUCCAGAUCAAAGGAGGAUAUGCCACAGGUGACUUAAUUUUUGAAUUUCAUACUAUGUGCUUGCAGCUCCUCAUUUCAUGAAGAUCAGACAUGGAGCCUUACCUGUGACAUCCAAGCCAUCUUUGUCAUUGUGCCCAGGCCUGCCCUCUAUGAAACACUCAAAACAGACAAGAAAAAUGAUCAUGAACAGAAGAAUUUGGUAUUAAUCUUCUUUAUUUGAUGAUGUAUCACUGUGUUGACUGAGUUAUAUAUUGGUAAUUUGCUAUAAAUUAUCGAGAUGAAAUAAAUACUCAGAAUUGAAAUUA